GGGCUGAGCGUGACGGGCACUGUGUGCCAUGUGGGGAAGGCGGAGGACCGGGAGCGGCUGGUGGCCAUGACUCUGGACAUUAAUGUGAAGGCCCCAGCCCUGAUGACAAAGGCAGUGGUGCCAGAAAUGGAGAAACGAGGGUACAGAGAGUGAGAGAGAGCCUGGGUGAGAGGGGACCCCACACAGGCUGAGGGCAGUGGUCCACACUGGGAAGACGGUCAGCUCUCUUCUUUUUCCAGAGGCGGCUCAGUGGUGAUCGUGUCUUCCAUAGCAGCCUUCAGUCCAUCUCCUGGCUUCAGUCCUUACAAUGUCAGUAAAACAGCCUUGCUGGGCCUCAACAAUACCCUGGCCAUAGAGCUGGCCCCAAGGAACAUUAGGGUGAACUGCCUGCACCUGGACUUAUCAAGACUAGCUUCAGCAGGAUGCUCUGGAUGGACAAGGAAAAAGAGGAAAGCAUGAAAGAAACCCUGCGGAUAAGAAGGUUAGGCGAGCCAGAGGAUUGUGCUGGCAU
rnacentral:lncRNA from 1 species